rnacentral:rRNA from 1 species
GGAAUAUUGGACAAUGGGCGCAAGCCUGAUCCAGCCAUGCCGCGUGCAGGAUGACGGUCCUAUGGAUUGUAAACUGCUUUUAUACGAGAAGAAACAUCCCGACGUGUCGGGACUUGACGGUAUCGUAAGAAUAAGGAUCGGCUAACUCCGUGCCAGCAGCCGCGGUAAUACGGAGGAUCCAAGCGUUAUCCGGAAUCAUUGGGUUUAAAGGGUCCGUAGGCGGUUUAAUAAGUCAGUGGUGAAAGCCCAUCGCUCAACGGUGGAACGGCCAUUGAUACUGCUAAACUUGAAUUAUUAGGAAGUAACUAGAAUAUGUAGUGUAGCGGUGAAAUGCUUAGAGAUUACAUGGAAUACCAAUUGCGAAGGCAGGUUACUACUAAUAUAUUGACGCUGAUGGACGAAAGCUAGGGGAGCGAAUGGGAUUAGAUACCCGAG